UGUAAAACCCCCUUACAAAUUUGAAUCUGCUGUAGAAAACGAAUGCUUAUGUUGUCUUUUCUGCUACAUGCAUAUUUCUGUAAUGCAAAUUAGUUUAUACAACAUUGGUAAAUAAGAAAUAAUGGCAUGUGAUGUGGAAAUUGAUCCAGACACACUUUUCCUUGAACAUGUCACUGGUUCAUGCAUCCAGGUAACAGCAGCUGGAUAGCAGCUGGAUGUAAAGUGCACAGAAUGGCCAAAGGCAGCAGCAGACCAGAAAACUCCCGAGAACAUUGAAGAAACUUGAAAGAAUCAGAGGCGGAGCUCUCUCAGAAAGAAAGGAAAGGUUGUGCUGGUAAACCAGAGUCAUCCAGAUAAACUCUUAUUUCCCCCAGUAACCUGAGGGCCAUUGAAGGCUGGCUAACAGAAGACGAACAGAAUGACUGUAUGGUGCCGAUUUGAAGAAUCAACUGCCACCUCUUUAAAUAAGUGCUACAUUUGGGGACAAGCACUGUCUUCAUUGAGAGUUACAUCACUUCCCCAGAGGGAACCGAGGAGAGUUUUUGGCAAGCUGAGCUGUGGUUCCUGUGCGCACAUCUUGGUUCGCUCACUUUCAAGUUGACAGUCACCUAAAUGUUGACCAGGAUCACAUGCUGCAUUGGUGGUCCUGUCUCCUUAUCUCCUUUAAUCCGGAGGAGUCCCUCUGUCAUUUGGUGUCUGUCUGGAUCUCUAUACAUGUGAUGAAGAAUACGGAGAAGUUAUGUUGUAGAAUGGCUCUCAGUGAGGUGUAAGUGAUCCCCACUUGUCAUCUGUGGACAUUUCCAUGAGGCAACAGUGACUUGAUAUGGCCAGAAGGGGUCCUUUCCUACCACUGAGGGACGUAGAUCAAUUCAAGUCCUUUGGCCUUUCCUGAGACGUAUGUGAUAACAAGUGACAAAGGAGAAAAACAACA